GGGCAGGGAUGGGGACAGGGACAGGUAGGAGCAGGGACAUUGGCCCCUGGGCAGAAGAGGAGACCCUUUUGGCCAGUGGGAGGGGAGACUGUUUCCAACCUGCUUGGAGGGGAGUCUGGGUAGCCUCAGCACACGGCUCAAGCUGGCCGGGCUGGCCCUGAGCCAUGCCUGAUGGACACAACAGGCCGUGGUGACCCCAGCUGGAACUUCCCGUUGCUAGGCACAGGCUGGGGCACCCUGAGGAGCCAUGCGUCAUCUGAGGAUGGUAGAAGAGGGCCAGGAGGACAUCUCGGACCAGGCGCGCGUGGGCCCAGCCCCCGAAGCCCUGGCAGACAACAGCGUCCUCAGGGCCCAGGUGGGGUGCGUCUGGCCAUGAGCCAACUGUCCCCAUGCAGACACCACCCCUGAAAAACUGUGUUUUGUACCAAAAGAUAAACUAGGGGACCCUGGGGCCCUUCCCGGAGGGAGCUUGGUUUCCAGGUUGUCCUGAGAGCCCUCACGAGCCCCUUCUCUGUGACGUCUGACCGCACCUGCGUCCCCUGCCCGUUUGUCCUUGUUGUCACCGUGGGAAAAGCCUGAGGAAGAACAGAUAAGCCGAGGCUUCGCUGAGGUGAGAAACGGCUCGUCCGUGAUCGCUGCCCGGUCAGCUGCCCAGCCUCUCGGCCAGCUCUCGGUUCUGUUGGCCGGGGCUGCUUUCCUGCCGUUCAUUGGGGGGAUCCCUGUUCUUGGGCGUCUCAGGCGUGGUGUCCACAGGCCCGGAACCUGCCGAGUCCUCCAGGGGAGGCUGGUGGCUCGACCCUUCGCCCGCACCCUGGCCUGCCUCGAGUCCGGCAGGCCCGCCUCCUGGACAGACCACUGGCCCUGGGCCCUGGUGUGGGCUGCCUCACGGGGCGCUCCGGCCGGAACCUCGUGCAGUGGCCUUGGCCCCUUCCAGAGUUGACUCGCCUGGGACCUCAGGACUGUCCAGCAGGCCCCGGGGACAGCAGUGGGGACAUCUGAGCUCAGCGGCACAGGGCCACCUGCCUCAGCUCCCACCGUUCCCCUUAGACCAACUGUCAUCAGUGAACGGAGGUGACGAACGUCCCAAGGGCCAGCCCCGUCUUCCCUCCACGCAGACUUGGGCAAGGUGCCCCCGCAGAGCCUCGGUGUCCUUGUGGGUAACAGCCACAGCCCUAGGGCAGAGACCCACGACCCCCACUUCCGUAUCCUCCUCCUGGGUGUCCCUUGGUGAGCCGCGGAUGGGGCUGGGCAGCCGCCUCCAGGGUCCAGGGUCGCCCACCUCCUUCUCUGGGUGAGGCUCCUCCACCUCCUCUCGGCCAACCCCACCGCCCUGGUGGCCACCCAGCCACAGGCUUCUCCUCCCACAGACCUGGCCGGACCCAGUGUCCUCUGUGCCACGUGGGCCGUACUGUCCGUUCUCGGCCCCUCGGCUCCCUCUGCUGGUCUCUACCUGCUCCCAGAGCUGCCGGAGAGCCCCAGGACGUCCCCUGCCCUCCCGGGGCCUCACAGCUCCUCCUGGUGACCUCCGGAGUUGGCUCGGCCAGGCCGCCCGGGACUCCAGGGCCUGCAGCUGCUCUUCUGCUGACCCGGGCAGGGAGCGUGUCUCGAUGGGCUCAGGAGGCCCAAGCUGGGACUGCAGCUGCCACCGGCAGGGACGGAGCCUGUCUGGGCCCCCUGGGCCUGCAGAUGUGGCCACUUCCCCUGUCCCCGGAAGCCAGCUCAGACCCCGAGGGUUUGCAGUUCAUAUUCUUUUGGCAAAACACCAGCUUUUCUUUUCGAAGGGAGAAAGCAAAACACAGAGAGGCACCCACAUAACAUCUUGGAAAACUGCAUUUUGAUGAGUGAGCGAAUCAGAACCACAUGCGGCACCUCCCUGGUCUCCUGGAGGGGUGGAAAGCCGCGGGGACAGCAGUGGGGACGGAGGGUGAGGGGCCGGGUCCCCGAGGCAAGGUCCUGCACGCAGAGGGAGAGGUGACCUUCCUCUGACUUUCCUUCCCCUCUGGACCAGGCUCCGGGGUCUGGUUCACGGCCAGGAAAGGGUAGUGGAUGGACACUAAGCUUGUGUGGUUGACCCCGAGAGCGGCCUCCAAAUCUCUCCCCGGGGACAGGCCAGGGAUAUCGGUUGGAGCCGAGUGUCUGUAAGCAGGUUCUGAGGUGAGAGUGUUGAUUUUCCUCUUUUCGACUGGUCUUGUUCUGCCGAUGCAGACGGGCCCAGAGGCAGACUCUCUGUCCUGCACCAAGCAGGACCCGGGCAGGACCCAGGAGGGACAGGCCUUUCGGCUUCCUCACCUACAGCCAAGGGAAACUUGAAAGGUCUUUAUUCUUGUCCCUAGUCUCCCAGGAGCAGGUGACUGCACCAGCCACCCGCCUGACCUGUGUCCUGAAGGUACACAGUGUUUAAUGAGCCUCACGCAGUAGGAGACCCCAGAGCCACAGAUUCCACCCUGCACCUCAAGGGGAGCUGCUCUUCUGCUCGUUUUACAAACAAGGCGACUGAGGCACAGAGGGGUUAAGAAAAUUAACCAAGGCCACACAGCCAAGAGUUGGCAAACCUGGGACUUGCCCCAAAGUCUUUGCCAAUGCAAAAGCCUGAACUUCUGUUAUGUCCUUUAAAAUACCUCUGCUUUUGGAAUUUGUGGCACUCACCUAAAAAGUAUUUUUUUGUGUGUGUGAUAUUCCUACUUUCCUCCUGUCACUUAAUAAAAACCUCUGCCACCCUCUAAGCCAGGUUUCCUGGGUCCACAGAGCCUCCUUUUCUGUCCCCCCCCCCCAGGAUCUGCCAGCCAGGGCCCGCUGUGUGUUAGACAAGCGCCUACCACUGAGCUGCUCAGCCCUCCCUGAAGAUGCUUGGGAACUCAGAUCGGCCAGGACUCUGCCACCUCCAGUCUCUAGACACCGGUGCCUUCCUGGGGCUGCGCAGUCACCCCACAGCAGAGAAGCCGCUUGGCGCCAUGACCAGCAGCCGGGCUUGGACCCACACACAGUGCGUUUAACCCCUCGCUGGAGACUAUGUGGCUCAGAGUUCUCGUCUACACAGCAGGCAGAAGGAACCUGGGUGAGAGACACGCGGCUGCCGGGCGCUGGCUUGAGCCCCUUCCCCUGACCCCGCGCUCUCCCAGGAGCGUGACAAUCACUGACUGUGGGAGAGGCUGGAUUAGGCCUCCACUCCUGAGUUUAGAGGACAGCGGCGUGGGGCUGUGGGGGCCAUGGUGGAGGAAAACUCGGAGGGAAC
rnacentral:lncRNA from 1 species